GGGAAACAUCAUCUUAGAUGCCACUUGUACAAUCAAAUUCCUCAAUCAAGAUGAACAACAUUCCCUCCAAGUACAAAUUUAAGCACCGGGCACAAACUUGGUGGCGUAAAUCCAAGCAUUGUUGGCGACGGGGUUGUCAAGGUGGUCGAACAGAUUCUCCAGCGGCCCCUUGCCGGUGACGAUCGCCUGAACGAAGAAUCCGAACAUCGAGAACAUGGCCAACCUCCCAUUCUUAAUCUCCUUAACCUUGAGCUCGGCGAAUGUGACAGGGUCGUCAGCGAGCCCCAGCGGGUCGAAGUAGGUACCACCGGGGUAGAGGUCAUUGCCCUCACCAACACCGGGCAAGCCAUUGAUGCGGAAGCCCUCGACUGCACCCAUGAGGAGAACCUGAAACCCUAGAACAGCAAGAAUGCUCUGUGCAUGGACCAAAUUAGGGUUUCCUAGGUAGUCAAGCCCGCCAUCGGAGAAGAUCUGCGCACCGGCCUUGAACCAUACCGGCUCCUUGAACUCCACCCUCAACCACUUCGCUAGAGCCUCCGGGGUGACACACCCUAGCGCCCCCAGCAUCGCCCACCGCCCGUGGAUCACCUCAAGAGCACGGUUCUUGGCAAAGGCCUCGGGGUCAGCGGAGAGUCCGGCGGUGUCCCACCCGUAGUCACCGGGGAAUUCUCCGGUGAGGUAG
rnacentral:misc_RNA from 1 species